rnacentral:rRNA from 1 species
AAGGAAUAUUGGUCAAUGGACGGAAGUCUGAACCAGCCAUCCCGCGUGCAGGAUGAAGGUCCUAUGGAUUGUAAACUGCUUUUAGCAGAGACGAAACGCCGACAUUUAUGUUGGUCUGACGGUAUCUGCGGAAUAAGCACCGGCUAACUCCGUGCCAGCAGCCGCGGUAAUACGGAGGGUGCAAGCGUUAUCCGGAAUCACUGGGUUUAAAGGGUGCGUAGGCGGAUGAUUAAGUCAGUGGUGAAAGCUGGUCGCUUAACGAUCAAACUGCCAUUGAUACUGAUUGUCUUGAAUUGGGUUGAGGUUAGCGGAAUGUGACAUGUAGCGGUGAAAUGCAUAGAUAUGUCAUGGAACACCAAUUGCGAAGGCAGCUAACUGGGCCUUGAUUGACGCUGAGGCACGAAAGCGUGGGUAGCGAAC